rnacentral:rRNA from 1 species
GUACGCCUACGGGGGGCAGCAGUGAGGAAUAUUGGUCAAUGGACGCAAGUCUGAACCAGCCACGUAGCGUGCAGGAUGACGGCCCUCCGGGUUGUAAACUGCUUUUAGUUGGGAAUAAAAGGGGGCUCGUGAGCCCCGUACUGUAUGUACCAUCAGAAAAAGGACCGGCUAAUUCCGUGCCAGCAGCCGCGGUAAUACGGAAGGUCCGGGCGUUAUCCGGAUUUAUUGGGGUUAAAGGGAGCGUAGGCCGGCUUUUAAGUCAGCUGUGAAAGUCCGCGGGUCAAC